UGGACAGAAGGGAUUUCUGAAAAACACUGU
rnacentral:piRNA from 1 species